rnacentral:sRNA from 1 species
GGGGGCCUGAUAAAGCCAAAAGACAGUUCCAGGAAGUUUAGGAGUGGAGAAGGCUUUGCCCAUUGCUUUUAAAAUUGGGGAAAUCGGGGUGGAAAAUUAGUUCUUCAAAAGUGUUUCUUUGAUAUCACCGCUGCUAAGGGAUCCUUUUUGGGCGUUGGUUCAUUCUAGAUCCCUUGGAUUGCUUUCAAGUAAUACCAAAGUGCUGGAGGAACCCUGGAAUCAUUCCUGUGCCCAGAGAUUCUGUAAAGAGAGAGUAUCUUAGAAAAUCUCAAACCACAGAAAAUACAUUGAUCCAUUGCAGCACAGAAUCUUGGCUUCCACGAUCCUCUUUUUAUAAUGCUCUCAUCAUUUGUAUAUGUAUUUAAAUAUCUGAGUCUAUCCACAUCUCUCCAUUUCCACUACCACUGUUCAAGUUCAGUAUCACAUCUUCACAUCCUGGAAGACUGUUCUGGCACCCAAACUGUGCACUUGUAUCUAUCUGUUCUGACUUCUCCCAGCCACUCUCCACACUAAAGCUAGAGUAAACCUUUAAAAGCACAAAUGUGUCAUGGUGUCCUCCUGCUUAGCAGUCUCCACUGGUAUCUCUUUGCUGUUGGGCUAAGACAAAAUCCUUUAGUGGGGAUUAUAAGCUCCUCACACUCUAGUUCCCUUUACUUCAGUCACACUGGCAGUUUUGGAGUUUCUCAAAUUCCCCAUAUGUCCUCCAACAUAGUACCUGAGCAUGCUGUUUCCUCUACCCGGAGCCCUUUGCCCAGUUAAUUCCAAUCUCAGCUCAAGAACCACUUCCUCAUGGAAGCAUUUCUUGACAUCCCUGGCUAGGUCAAAUCUCCCAUUCUAGGGCUUCUUAGUGCUAUAUCCUCUCUUUGUAGCAGUUGCACAGUUCUAACUUUACAUUUAUUCGUGUGAUUAAAGUAUUUCCUCUUCGCUAUACUGUCAGCACCAUGAGAACAAGGCACAUAUCUGGUUUUGCUCUUUACUUUUCUUAAGACUUUGCCAUAAGUAGGGUCCUUUCCCAGGCUAAUUCUUAACUUAGUACUUUUAAUUACACUAAUAAGGAAGUUUCAGGACACGAAGAAACAGACCAGCUAAAGGUUUUCUACUUUGCUAUUAUUUUUUAAGAAAUCAAUGCUAAUAAUGUUUUAGUUGAAAGCAGUGUAUUCUGAUCAGUCAAGGACCUCUGAUCCCACCUGUUCUGGAAGACAAAAUGGCAUGCCUGCAGUCCACAACCUGACACUUCAUGUAAUAAACUGGCAGCUGCUUCGAGUUAUGAUAUGACUCUGACAAAUGCUUGUAUUGCCUUAAGUCAAAGAUGGAUUACUGCCAAAGAAGAUGAUUUAAAUUCAUUCAAUGCCACAGACCUGAAAGAUCUCUCUUCUCAUCAGUUGAAUGAGUUUUUAGCACAGACGCUCCAGACGGCACCUCUUCCAUUGGGGCACAUAAAGCGAAUGCAAGAGGUGUACAACUUCAAUGCCAUUAACAAUUCUGAAAUACGAUUCAGAUGGCUGCGGCUCUGCAUUCAAUCCAAGUGGGAGGAUGCAAUUCCUUUGGCGCUAAAGAUGGCAACUGAACAAGGAAGAAUGAAGUUUACCCGGCCCUUAUUCAAGGAUCUUGCUGCCUUUGACAAAUCCCAUGAUCAAGCUGUCCGAACCUACCAAGAGCACAAAGCAAGCAUGCAUCCCGUGACUGCAAUGCUGGUGGGGAAAGACUUAAAAGUGGAUUAAAGACCUGCGUAUUGAUGAUUUUAGAGAUUUCUCUUUUUUAAAUGGAAUUCGUAAAGAAAUAUAAAACUUCCGCUCAUAAUUAAAACUGUCUUUUUAGUUUUGGCUUUUUAUUGUUUUGUUGGUGAUUUUACUAAAAUAAAGUUGAGCUACUACUUCUUA